GCAGAGGCACCAUAGUUAUUCUGGAUUCUCAAGGAAGACCUGAGCCGUCUGCGGCCAGUCCCUGGGGAGGCAGAGCGCAGGGGCUGCUGGGUCAGCGCUUCGGUCCAGGUGGUUCGCCGCGCUCUGCAGACUUCCGGCUGGGAGCCUGGGAGAGUGGGAAAGCUCUAGCUGGAAGCCGAAGACCUCGGUGUGACACCUUGGCAACCACUGAUCUGCUUUCUGCCUUG